rnacentral:rRNA from 1 species
UACGUAGGGACCGAGCGUUGUCCGGAAUCAUUGGGCGUAAAGAGCGUGUAGGCGGCCCCUUAAGUCCUGCGUGAAAUCCUGCGGCUCAACCGCAGACGGUCGUGGGAAACUGGAGGGCUAGAGUGCGGGAGAGGAGAGUGGAAUUCCCGGUGUAGCGGUGAAAUGCGGCAGAUAUCGGGAAGAACACCCGUGGCGAAGGCGGCUCUCUGGAACGCAACUGACGCUGAGACGCGAAAGCGUGGGGAGCAAACAGG